CAGAGAUCGCAACAUGAAGCGAGACUGGGAUUUGCUUCAUUCACAGAUCUGACUCAACGCCGGCUGACCCCGUGUACAGGCAGACGACAUAUUCCUCCGACGCGCAGGUUGAAAGAGACAGACGAGAAAAAGCCUGCAGCUCUUGCAGACUCGUUUCUCUGCUCUCUUACCGGUGCACGCCUGAGACUCCCACACUUGGUCCGGACA